CUAUUCUUCCUUGUGCAUGAAAUGCUUGCCCCAGAUGGUUAGCUCCCUCAAUCUUACAAAUCUUAGUUUAAAUGUCAUUUCUCUCCUUUGGGCAAGAUUUCCUGAGUACUCUACUUAGAAUAAGCACCACACUCUAGUAUAUUCUCUCAGCCCUUUAUCUCCAUUGUAGAACUUAUCCCAAGUUGUGAUUAUCAUAUAAGACAGUUCACUUGUUUUUAGCCAUCUUCUGUGCUCAGGUGUUAGCUCCAUGAAGGCAGAGAUCCUGUUGCUGUGGUUCACCCCUGGAUAGUACAGCACCUGACAUUGUUGUUGUUGAGGAAAUGAAUGAGGUGCCACAUUCCUAGAUGAUCAUCUGAUAUAAUCACGUUAAAGUGUUCUCUUCUCAGUUCCUCUCAGAGAAACCCCUUGACAAACUGGUAGGGGUUGGAGGUCAUUUCUUGGAAGCAUCAAAAACUAUGAGAAAUUCUCAGGGGGAGGACUAAUAACAGAUGGGAAGUUGUUUGCUAUGUACAUUGCAAUGUGACCCAGAAGUCCCC
rnacentral:lncRNA from 1 species